CCCAUUUCGGUAUCAUCAUCACAAUAAAUAGGUUUGCAGAACACAUUUUUCCGGCGAGUCUCAACUGGAACUUAACCUUUCCUUCCUUUAGCCAACAAUUAUCACCCACUAUGAUCACUGAAACAAUUUCUAAAAUAGGUGUUAGUAGGUCAUGGGGGAGAACAGAAUUUAUUUUGCAGUUGGGUUCAAGUCCUAUGAUAUUACGAGAUUGAUCAGUAGGACAGAAACCUGGUUUGAAUGGGUGGAAAGAAGUAGGAAUUUGAUGCGCAGAACCAAGUUUAACAAGAAAACCAUGGAGUGGUUAGUUUUUGUUUUGCUAGAAGCCUCGAGGGACACUGGAAUGCAUACAAGAUGGUGGAAGCUCAAUGACAAAUUUGCAGAUUUCUAUUGUGCCAGAAAACACAAGUUUGGCAGAUUUAUUAGCAUUGUUACUGUUCAAGGAGAGAACAGAUCAGUUAUUAUAAUACCAGAAUUUGCAUUAAUUAAGGGGUGGGGGUACAUAGCAUUAAAGGUAGAUAGCUCCAUUAAAAAUCAAAAGGAAGUCCCUAGUACAAGUUCAAGCAGAUCUAGAAGAACAGACUCAAAAACCCUUUAUGCCGACACAAUCAGAACCAACAAGUGGCAAUCAAAGGCAACAUCUGAUGCAAAAAUAUGUCAAAGCAGGGGAGACAUGGUAAUAAAUGAUGCUGAUGCAGAAGCUCAAAAAGGUCUACUUGGAAGGUGCAUUGUUGGGACCUUUGCUGCAAGGAUGAAGGAGAUACCCACUCUUGCAGAUAUUAGAAGAUGGGCCACCUUUACAUGAACAAGGCUUUUGGGGUCAACAUUUAUGAGAUGAAUGGAAACUCUUUCCUCUUCGAGUUCCCUAAUAAGCACAUGGCAGAACAAAUUCUUCAUGGAGAGUGGACUUGGAAGCAUCUGAAGUUGUAUCUCCAAUGAUGGUCACCGACAGUGGGAUGUUGUUCGCAACGAAAGAACUCAACUUGGAUUAGAGCUAUGGGCUCCUGUUACAUAUCUGGACAGAAAGUGCAUUCAAAGCUAUUGGUGAACAAUGUGGUGGAUGGCUAGAAACUGAAGAAGAAACCUCCCUAUAGAAUCAACUGAAGUGGGCAAGGGUGAGAGUCAAAGGUGAUGGGGAAAACAUACCGAAAGAUGUCAAGCUAUUGGAUAAAGUUCUUACCUUUAUUAUUCCGAUCUAGCUGGGAAUUCAGACCUUGGUGGUGAUCGAAGAGCCGAAGAAGUCACUGGAUAAUCACCCGUGGAUAACUAUAAAUCAUGGAGGAAGAAAUAGCAACUCCGGCAAGGUGAAGAAGACGAAAGACAAUGACCGCUGGUUAAUAAAAGAGAACAGAGAAAGAAACAACGGUUUUUAUAAUGGUGAAAAUAGGUAUGGACACGUGGUUUCUACAUCAGAUCCAACAGCUGGCGUGGGCCCAGUUGCAUGUGCACAGGAGGAUAUUUUAAGUAAUGGGCCAAUUUUGGGGCAAAAGGAAAAAAAUAGAUUUCUGUGGGGUUUUUUCCAAUGAUGGCCC
rnacentral:lncRNA from 1 species